GAUGAACGCUGGCGGCGUGCCUAAUACAUGCAAGUCGAGCGAACAGACGAGGAGCUUGCUCCUCUGACGUUAGCGGCGGACGGGUGAGUAACACGUGGAUAACCUACCUAUAAGACUGGAAUAACUUCGGGAAACCGGAGCUAAUACCGGAUAAUAUAUUGAACCGCAUGGUUCAAUAGUGAAAGACGGUUUUGCUGUCACUUAUAGAUGGAUCCGCGCCGCAUUAGCUAGUUGGUAAGGUAACGGCUUACCAAGGCAACGAUGCGUAGCCGACCUGAGAGGAUGAUCGGCCACACUAGUACUGAGACACGGUCCAGACUCCUACGGGAGGCAGCAGUAGGGAAUCUUCCGCAAUGGGCGAAAGCCUGACGGAGCAACGCCGCGUGAGUGAUGAAGGUCUUCGGAUCGUAAAACUCUGUUAUUAGGGAAGAACAAAUGUGUAAGUAACUAUGCACGUCUUGACGGUACCUAAUCAGAAAGCCACGGCUAACUACGUG
rnacentral:rRNA from 1 species